UACGAAGGGGGCUAGCGUUGUUCGGAAUUACUGGGCGUAAAGCGCGCGCAGGCGGUUUUCCAAGUCAGUGGUGAAAGCCCGGAGCUCAACUCCGGAAGUGCCAUUGAAACUGCAAAACUUGAGUACGAGAGAGGUGAGUGGAAUUCCCAGUGUAGAGGUGAAAUUCGUAGAUAUUGGGAAGAACACCGGUGGCGAAGGCGGCUCACUGGCUCGUAACUGACGCUCAGGCGCGAUAGCGUGGGGAUCAAACAGG
rnacentral:rRNA from 1 species